CACUCCUACGGGAGGCAGCAGUGGGGAAUUUUGGACAAUGGGCGAAAGCCUGAUCCAGCAAUGCCGCGUGUGUGAAGAAGGCCUUCGGGUUGUAAAGCACUUUUGUCCGGAAAGAAAUCCUUUGCUCUAAUACAGUCGGGGGAUGACGGUACCGGAAGAAUAAGCACCGGCUAACUACGUGCCAGCAGCCGCGGUAAUACGUAGGGUGCGAGCGUUAAUCGGAAUUACUGGGCGUAAAGCGUGCGCAGGCGGUUUGCUAAGACCGAUGUGAAAUCCCCGGGCUCAACCUGGGAACUGCAUUGGUGACUGGCUGGCUAGAGUAUGGCAGAGGGGGGUAGAAUUCCACGUGUAGCAGUGAAAUGCGUAGAGAUGUGGAGGAAUACCGAUGGCGAAGGCAGCCCCCUGGGCCAAUACUGACGCUCAUGCACGAAAGCGUGGGGAGCAAACAGGAUUAGAAACCCCUGUAGUCCCA
rnacentral:rRNA from 1 species